UUACCACCCUUAGCAGUCCAGAACAGAACCCCGUGCAUCUGUCCGGUGAGAGCGACCCUGCUAACAUGCUGCAGCUUGUCUCUGGGCAGCUGAGCCAAACAGCGGUUCAGGGCGUUUAUGAUCAGGCCGGGGUCCUGCUCCUUAGCCUGGAUACCAAACAGAGAGCAAGAGGCUCAGCUGUGUCCCUCAGCUGCACAGGGAAGUUUGACAGCUCACCUUUAUUCCUCUAACGUCGCUGAGAUUGGCAGCUGUGGGUUCAGGGUGACCCACGGCUACAGUCCUGGAGUCCGCUGCCAGCAGCACAGCUUUGACCGAAGUGGUUCCCACAUCUAUCCCCAGGAUGAACUUAGGCAUGGUUGCUGGCUCUACUAACCAUGGCACAUCAUCCUGGAGGCAAGGUCGACUUUCUUCUUCUUCUGCUUUUUUUAUGGCGGUUGGUAAACAGUUUUCUGAUGCAUUACCGCCACAUUCUGGGUUGGAGUAUAAAAUCUGAAAUUAUAAUAUUACCUCCGCCGAGGAUGUAGGUUUUUAGGACGGUUUGUGUCUGUUUGUGUACACAACCUAAAUUGUUAUCGAAGGAUUUAAUCAUUUUCUUUUUUAUUAGAGGUUUCAGACAGACCAUAUAAAAUUUUUAUCCAGGAUUUUUUUUAAGAUUCUCUAACACUGUGAGUGGGGAUAUUUGGCGGAACAAGCAGUUCCCCAUUAAACCGGAGGGUGGCAGCAAAUAGUUGCACCUCUUCAGCCGAGGACCUCACCUUCAUCUCUGCCCUCUACGCCACAUGGUGUCACCAAGCGGACGCGCUUGAAUGACGCGGACAUUGUGAAGCAGUUGGAGCCGUUGGAUCAGCGUCGGGAGGAGAUAUUAGAGAGGAAGCGUUCGGCCCAAGAUGACUUCAUUGCAUUUGGGAUGCUGGUAGCCAACAUGGUGGACCGAAUACAGCGAGGAGAAAGGUCCCACGCCUUGUACGGGUAAUCAACCUGCUACAGGGGAUCCUGGACCAACAGGCAGUAAGACCUGUGCCCAAACCUGAAGAUACAGACUGAAAUUGACUGCUAUUAUACAUAUACAAUAUAUUAUAAACUAUAAUAUAUAUAUUCUAAUAAUAUACAACAUGUUAACAUGUCAUAUACAUUUCAUACGUAAGUUAUAUAUUCAUGUUACAUGUUAUAUUGUUUUAUUAUUAUAUAUCUAUAUGCUCGACAUUAUCUAUAUGCUCUAAAGUAUCUAUAUGCUCUGCACUGACAUCUAAUUGUUUACUUUUUCUACUUAGUUGCACAGUUGCUUUUGUUAUUUGUUUAAAAAAUGUAAGGGAUAGAAAGUACAGAUACCUGUGUGAAAAUGUAAUGAGUAGAAGUCAGAAGUAGGAAGAAAAAUAAGUAAUGGAGUAAAGUAUAGAUACCUAAGAAGUGUACUUAAGUACUCUUGACACCUCUGGUUAUGACUGUACUCUUACACCAUUUACACUAUUUAAACAGUUCACACUUAUAUAACCUUUCGACAAGACCAAGUUAACGCCUAUUGCGUUUGGCACAAUACUGCCCUCUUGUGUUCAAAUAAACGAACUACUGAAUAAAAACGUCUCAAAUAAUAAUAAUAAUUCUUUCAUCUUAUCGUUUUGAAUUUCCCAUGAAAGUAUUUUUUUUAAAACAAAUUCCCCAAAAUUUUCAAUUAUCUAGAAUUUAUAGCAUUACAAAGUAAUUAUUUAAAUUAAUAUUAAGAUUGUAUUUGCUAUCUGUAUAGACAUGAAAAU